rnacentral:rRNA from 1 species
CCUACGUGCGGCUGCAGUGAGGAAUAUUGGUCAAUGGUCGGAAGACUGAACCAGCCAUGCCGCGUGCAGGAAGGCGGCCUUAUGGGUUGUAAACUGCUUUUAUAUGGGAAGAAUAAGGGGUACGUGUACUUUGAUGACGGUACCAUAUGAAUAAGCAUCGGCUAACUCCGUGCCAGCAGCCGCGGUAAUACGGAGGAUGCGAGCGUUAUUCGGAAUCAUUGGGUUUAAAGGGUCUGUAGGCGGGCUAUUAAGUCAGGGGUGAAAUAUUUCAGCUUAACUGGGAAAUUGCCUUUGAUACUGGUAGUCUUGAAUAUUUGUGAAGUUUUUGGAAUGUGUAGUGUAGCGGUGAAAUGCAUAGAUAUUACACAGAACACCGAUUGCGGAGGCAGGGGACUAACAAAUAAUUGACUCUGAGAGACGAGAGCGUGGGGAGCGAACAGGAUUAGAUACCCCAGUAGUC